AAAAACGAAAAAUGAUACUACAUGCAUCUCAUUAUUUCAUUACUUUUAAGUACGAAAAUAAAAAAUAUAUAUAAUUAAUAUAUAAAGUGAAUUAAUAAAUGAUAUUUAAAGAUUAUUUUAAAUAAAUUGGGCUAACUAUUAAUAAUAUUUUAAAUGAUUAAUAUUUUACUAAAAAAGGUACGAGACAUUAUUAAUGGAACGUCUCAAUAUAGUAAUUAAAAUAUUCCUACUAACUAGACGGAUGGAGCCUUUGCCAAAAAUGAAAAGAAGAAACAUCAUAGACAAAAUAAGAAAAAAAAAAUCUUUAAAAAAGGGGAAAAGAAAAAAAAAUCUAGAAUCUAAAAAAAGAAAGAAAAUAAAAACUGCAGUCACAACUCAACAAUAAUGGAUUGGUAUUUAUACCUUAACCAACAACGCAGAAACAAAAGAGAAUAUACAAAAGGUAGCAUCCGCAUUUUACUUUCCCAAAAUUUAUUUCUUUAGCACUUAUUUAGUUAAUAUUUUACGCGUUUGCUUUACAUCAACGGAGAGAAGCACACCUAAUCCCUCCUCCCAAAGUUAUACCAAUUGGGCCCCACAUCAAUAACAAAAGGUUAAAAUCAUACCUACAAACUUCCACACCCCAUCUCUCUACUUCUUCAUUUUUUCUUCCCUCCUUUUACUUUUUUCUUUCUCUUUUUCUUUUGAUCUUUUCCUACAUUAAAUCAUCUAAUGAUUUCAUUGUUCUACAACUAUCACCAAUUACUCUUUUUCUUAUUUUAUUUUUAGUGAUUGUUUCAUGCAUAUGAAUUUACUGCAAAAUCUAAAUAUGUGUUAAAAUGCAAAUAAAAUUUAAAUCUCAAACUUAUGCAUUAUUGCAAGU
rnacentral:lncRNA from 1 species